UUGGUCCAUUUUACAGAGCACUGAUUGGUCCAUUUUACAGACUGCUGAUUGGUCCAUUUUACAAACCUCCAGCUAGCCACAAAGCACGGAUUGGUGCAUUUUUACAGAGCACUGAUUGGCACAUUUACAAACCUCUGGCUAGCCACAGAGCAUUGAUUGGUGCAUUUUACAAUCCUAGCUACAGAGUGCUGAUUGGUGCAUUUUACAAUCCUCUCGUAAGACAGAAAAGUUCUCCAAGUCCCCACUGGACCCAGGAAGUCCAGCUGGCUUCACCUCUCGCUAGGGGCACCUGCAGGAGACGCAGCAGAUAUAGGCAUCUUUGAUCCCAUCUUCACUGGGUUUCCAUCCCCUCCAAGAAGAGUCCAGCGAGGCUCAGAGCCCAGCAGUCUGAGGCCGGAGCGUGAUGUCUUGAUGGAGUGCAGCAGCAGGCGGCCACAGGGGGGCUCCAGGUGGAGGCAGGGUGGACAGAGGGUGGCCUUGGAGGUGCGUGGGGCGGGGGCAGGGAGAGUCAGGGGCCUGAGCCAAGACCACGUUGUUGAUGGGAGCUGAGGCCCAGAAGACAGGUGCUGGGAAGGGCCAGGGAGUCUUCCAGAGUCAAGAUCCCAGAGCCUCCACCUCCCACCCAAUGCUGGGAUUUGUAGCUGGGGGUGGGCCGGAGACAGGAGGGGGACUGGGAAGAUGGCCCUGAUACUUUCCAGAGGAAGCCAGCUUUCUCAGGGGCUGCAGGAGCUGUUCGUUCAACAAACCUCAGACCUGUGCUCACCCCUGUGAGGUGGGGGGCGUGGGACCUGGGUUAGACCCAGUUCUGACCUUGCCCUCCAGAGCCCACAAGGAUAACGGGAGGCAGGCCUGGUCCUCACACCAGGUGCCCAGCAUCCUGCCCAGGCUGUGCUGGGGCUGACCACCCCACGAUGAGGGUCCAUUUCUACCCGCUCUGCUGCAGAAAGGACAGGGUCUGUCUAGGGACAGAUGUGGAGACCCUGAAAGAUGCAGCAGCAGGAUGGGCCUGGGUGGGAGGAGCUGGAGCUGGAGGAAGCUGGGCACCAGCUGUGAGCCCCACCUCACAUCUCCAGCUCACCUGGACUUCUCAGUAAUCCCUCAGGCUGGCCUGGGCUGCAGAGGGGGUCCCAGCUGUAUCAGCACGCAAGGCCUGCUCUGGGGCAGGCUGGGAAGCCCUGGUUUGUCAGAGAACUGAAACCACACUGAGCAGACGCGGCUGCAACCCAUGCAGAGAGAGAAGAGCAGCUUUCAGGGCUGCUGACUUUGCACUGGAACCCCAGAUGACUCCCACAGACCCUGCUAGACCUCUCCACCAGGCUGCAGCUUCCAGGAGGAGGAGAUGCCCCAUGGCUGAUGCAACAAGUUACCACAAACCUGGUGGCUAACACAAGUUUAUUCUCUACAGUUCUGGAGGCCACAAGUCUAAAGUCAGUUGUACGGGGUAAAGUCAAGGUGUCAGCGGGGCUGGUUCCCUCUGGAGGCUCCAGAGGAGAAGCUGCUCCUGGCCUCUGCCAGCUCCUAAGGGCUGCCAGCAUUCCUUGGCUUGUGGCCACAACCUCCAGUCUCUGCCUCCCUGGUCACGUCGCAUUCUCGUCUGUGUGUAAUCUCUCUUCCACCUUCUCUUCUGUGUGUAGUCUCUUUUCCUCUCUCUUGUAAGGACACUUGUGAUUACAUUUAGGGCCCACCUGGCUAACCCAGGACAACCUUUCCAUCCCAAGAUCCUUAGCUUCGCCAGGUGCAGUGGCUCACACCUGUAAUCCCAGCAUUUUGGGAGGCCGAGAUGGGUGGAUCACUUGAGGCCAGAAGUUUGAGAUCAGCCUGGCCAACAUGGUGAAACCCCCUCUUUAAUAAAAAAUACAAAAAUUA